GACGUAGGGCGCGAGCGUUUAUCCGGAAUUAUUGGGCGUAAAGAGCUCGUAGGCGGUUUGUCGCGUCUGCCGUGAAAGUCCGGGGCUCAACUCCGGAUCUGCGGUGGGUACGGGCAGACUAGAGUGAUGUAGGGGAGACUGGAAUUCCUGGUGUAGCGGUGAAAUGCGCAGAUAUCAGGAAGAACACCCGUGGCGAAGGCGGCUCUCUGGACGGUACUGACGGCUGAGACGCGAAAGCGUGGGGAGCAAACAGG
rnacentral:rRNA from 1 species